rnacentral:rRNA from 1 species
UGAGGAAUAUUGGUCAAUGGGCGCAAGCCUGAACCAGCCAUCCCGCGUGAAGGAAGAAGGCGUUAUGCGUUGUAAACUUCUUUUCCAGGGGAAUAAAAUUUCGUACGUGUACGGAAUUGAAGGUACCCUGGGAAUAAGCAUCGGCUAACUCCGUGCCAGCAGCCGCGGUAAUACGGAGGAUGCGAGCGUUAUCCGGAUUUAUUGGGUUUAAAGGGUGCGCAGGCGGAAAGAUAAGUCAGUGGUGAAAUCCUGCAGCUUAACUGCAGAAUUGCCGUUGAUACUGUUUUUCUUGAGUGUGGUCAAGGAAGGCGGAAUGUGUAAUGUAGCGGUGAAAUGCUUAGAUAUUACACAGAACACCAAUUGCGAAGGCAGCUUUCUGGGCCGUUACUGACGCUCAUGC